rfam:Cavia porcellus supercont2_5 genomic scaffold, whole genome shotgun sequence.
GGGGAUUUAGCUUAGUGGCGUAAGCGCCUGCCUUGCAAGCACGAGGUCGUGAGUUCGAUCCCCCAUACACGCCC